rnacentral:rRNA from 1 species
AUGGCCACGCCAGUGCUGCCGCCUGGAGUCGCCUUGGGCAUCACCUCGAGUGACCUCCAUCGCCGCGCCGAGUCAACUCCACCACUGCUGCCAGGAAUCCCGUCCCCGACGAGGUGCAAUGACAGAGAUCAUCCAGUGGGAUGUUCUACUGCAUCUGAAUUUGACAAAUUUAAUCCUGCCAUUAUAUUCUUCCCUUCACUGCUCAAGUUAACACCCCUCCUCGCAUUUAUUGGCCCAUAUGUUCAAAUAUACCAUGAAGGGAAGAUCUGCCUCACUGUGCACUUCAGGCGCGUGCACACUAGCGAUGGUAUAGGAUUGGCUUCCUGGUGGAAUCAGGUGUACAUGGAGGAGGUGAAGGCGACUACAGAGGAGCUUGCCGUAGCUGCUCACCUGCUCCGGGAAUCCUCCUGA